CGGAGGGACUUCCGGCCGUAAAACCCCCCAAAUCUAAAAGGUGACCUCGAUCAGUAGAUCA
rnacentral:rRNA from 1 species